AAGACUAUACUUUCAGGGAUCAUUUCUAUAGUUUGUGACUAGAGAGAUGCUUUCUAAAGUGAUCGGUCUUGCCAACCACAGGGACGAUUUGUAAUGUCUUCUCCUGAGCAUGAAAAAUGUAAUUGAACUCAUUUAUGUGUUCUUUUACUGUUGAUGAUUGCUUAUGUUUAGCUGUUAUAGCUUGGCAUGAGGGAGAAGGCAUAAUCCGAGUGGU